CGCGGUAAUUUGACCGUGCAAAGGUAGCAUAAUCAGUAGUCUUUUAAUUGAGGGCUGGAAUGAAUGGUUGGACAAGAAGCUGUCUGUCUUUGUUAUAAAAAUUGAAUUUAACUUUUAAGUGAAAAGGCUUAAAUAUGUUGGGGGGACGAUAAGACCCUAUAAAACUUGACAUAGAAAGUUGGUUUUUAAAUUAUUGUGUUAAAAUAAACCAGGCUUAUUUUGUUACGUUGGGGCGACGAGAAUAUAAAGUGUAACUGUUAGUGAAUUAAAAUAAUUAUUUUUAGUUGUUUGAUUGAUCCUUUUAUAGAGAUUAUAAGAAAAAGUUACUUUAGGGAUAACAGCGUGAUUUUUUCUGAGAGUUCUUAUCGACGAAAGUAGUUGCGACCUCGAUGUUGAAUUAAGAUAUUAUUAGGGUGUAGAAG
rnacentral:rRNA from 1 species